rnacentral:rRNA from 1 species
AAUUAAAUAUAAUAAGAGCAUUUGGUGGAUGCCUUGGCAAUGGCAGGCGAUGAAGGACGUGAUACGCUGCGAUAAGCGUCGGGGAGCUGCGAAUAGGCUUUGAUCCGACGAUUUCCGAAUGGGGGAACCCAUCUUUGUGAUGUGUAUUUAGUACCUAGCGAAUAGCUAGGUAUCGAUUACUCAUCACGUAAUAAGAUAUUUAUAUCUGAAUACAUAGGAUAUAAAAGCGAACCUGGUGAACUGAAAUAUCUAAGUAGCCAGAGGAAAGGACAUCAAUUGAGACUCCCUUAGUAGUGACGAGCGAACGGGGAUCAGGCCAGUGGUUAUGUGGAUGUAAGUGGAAUGCGCUGGAAAGUGCGACCAUAGUGGGUGAUAGUCCCGUACACGUAAGAUAAACAUAAUCCAUGAGUAGGGCGGGGCACGUGAAACCCUGUCUGAACAUAGGGGGACCACCCUCUAAGCCUAAGUACUCGCCAUUGACCGAUAGUGAACAAGUACUGUGAAGGAAAGGUGAAAAGUACCCCGAUGAGGGGAGUGAAAUAGACCUGAAACCGAAUGCUUACAAACAGUUGGAGCGGACAUUGAUCCGUGACAGCGUACCUUUUGUAUAAUGGGUCAGCGACUUACAUUAUCUAGCAAGCUUAAGCCGAUAGGUGUAGGCGUAGCGAAAGCGAGUGUUAACUGCGCGUUGAGUUAGAUGAUGUAGACCCGAAACCAAGUGAUCUAUCCAUGGCCAGGCUGAAGGUGCGGUAACACGCACUGGAGGGCCGAACCCACGUCUGUUGAAAAAGACGGGGAUGAGCUGUGGAUAGGGGUGAAAGGCCAAUCAAACUUGGAAAUAGCUGGUUCUCCGCGAAAACUAUUUAGGUAGUGCGUCGGAUGAAUACCUUGGGGGGUAGAGCACUGGAUGGACUAGGGGGGCCCAAAGCCCUACCAACUCUAACCAAACUCCGAAUACCCAAGAGUACUAUCCGGCAGACAGACUAUGGGUGCUAACGUCCGUAGUCGAGAGGGAAAAAACCCAGACCUACAGCUAAGGUCCCCAAAUCGUGGUUAAGUUGGGAAGCAUGUGAGAUGGCCAUAACAACCAGGAGGUUGGCUUAGAAGCAGCCAUCCUUUAAAGAAAGCGUAACAGCUCACUGGUCUAAAUAAGCUGUCUUGCGGCGAAGAUGUACCGGGGAUUAAACCACGUACCGAAGCUUAGGGCUUGCAUAGCAAGCGGUAGCGGAGCAUUCUGUAAGCCUGUGAAGGCGCAUCGUGAGGUGUGCUGGAGGUAUCAGAAGUGAGAAUGCUGACAUGAGUAGCGACAAACAGAGUGAGAAACUCUGUCGCCGAAAUCCCAAGGGUUCCUGUCUUAUGCUAAUCAGGGCAGGGUUAGUCGGCCCCUAAGGCGAGGCAGAAAUGCGUAGUCGAUGGGAACACGGUUAAUAUUCCGUGACCUGAAGGUGGUGACAUAUCACGCAAAUAGUGCAAUCUUAUUGGAUUGAUUGUGCUGUGAAGUGGUAUCAGGAAACAGCCCCUUCAUAUAGACCGUACCCGAAACCGACACAGGUGGGAUGGUAGAGUAUACCAAGGCGCUUGAGAGAACGAUGCUGAAGGAACUAGGCAAAUUGCACUCGUAACUUCGGAAGAAGAGUGACCUCUUUUAAGGCAACUUUUAAGAGGUGGCACAGAGCAGGGGGUGGCGACUGUUUAUUAAAAACACAGGGCUCUGCGAAGUCGUAAGACGACGUAUAGGGCCUGACGCCUGCCCGGUGCUGGAAGGUUAAUGAAAGCUGUGCAAGCAGUGGACUGAAGCCCCAGUAAACGGCGGCCGUAACUAUAACGGUCCUAAGGUAGCGAAAUUCCUUGUCGGGUAAGUUCCGACCCGCACGAAUGGCGUAACGACUUCCCCGCUGUCUCCAGCAUCGACUCAGCGAAAUUGAAUUCUCCGUGAAGAUGCGGAGUUCCCGCGGUCAGACGGAAAGACCCCGUGCACCUUUACUAUAGCUUUACAUUGGUAUUAGGCAAUUCAUGUGCAGGAUAGGUGGGAGACAUUGAAGGAGAGGCGCAAGCCUUUCUGGAGUCAUCCUUGAGAUACCACCCUUGAAUUUCUUGAUAUCUAACCACGACCCGUGAAUCCGGGUUUGGGACCAUGUAUGGUGGGUAGUUUGACUGGGGCGGUCGCCUCCCAAAGUGUAACGGAGGCGUGCGAAGGUAGGCUCAGGACGGACAGAAAUCGUCCUUUAGAGUGUAAUGGCAUAAGCCUGCCUGACUGCGAGACUGACAAGUCGAGCAGAGACGAAAGUCGGUCAUAGUGAUCCGGUGGUUCCUCGUGGAAGGGCCAUCGCUCAACGGAUAAAAGGUACGCCGGGGAUAACAGGCUGAUACUGCCCAAGAGUCCAUAUCGACGGCAGUGUUUGGCACCUCGAUGUCGGCUCAUCUCAUCCUGGGGCUGGAGAAGGUCCCAAGGGUAUGGCUGUUCGCCAUUUAAAGAGGUACGUGAGCUGGGUUUAG